AAACCUCAAAGGAAUUGACGGGGGCCCGCACAAGCGGUGGAGCAUGUGGUUUAAUUCGACGCAACGCGCAGAACCUUACCAACCCCUUGACAUCCCUAUGACCACCAGAGAGAUCUGGCUUUCUCGUAAGAGACAUAGUGACAGGUGCUGCAUGGCUGUCGUCAGCUCGUGUCGUGAGAUGUUCGGUUAAGUCCGGCAACGAGCGCAACCCACAUCUUUAGUUGCCAGCAAGUUAUGUUGGGCACUCUAGAGAAACUGCCCGUGAUAAGCGGGAGGAAGGUGUGGAUGACGUCAAGUCCUCAUGGCCCUUACGGGUUGGGCUACACACGUGCUACAAUUGCAUCAACAAUGGGUUAAUCCCUAAAAGAUGUCUCAGUUCGGAUUGGGGUCUGCAACUCGACCCCAUGAAGUUGGAAUCGCUAGUAAUCGCGUAACAGCAUGACGCGGUGAAUACGUUCCCGGGCCUUGUACACACCGCCCGUCACACCAUGGGAGUUGGAUCUACCCGAAGGCCGUGCGCCAACCUUUCGAGGAGGCAUGCGGACCACGGUGG
rnacentral:rRNA from 1 species